UUUUGGUGAGGUGCCUUCCGAGUUCCCUGGAACGGGACGCCAUAGAGGGUGAGAGCCCCGUCUGGUUGGACACCGAUCCUCUGUAAAGCUCCUUCGACGAGUCGAGUAGUUUGGGAAUGCUGCUCUAAAUGGGAGGUAUAUGUCUUCUAAAGCUAAAUACCGGCCAGAGACCGAUAGCGCACAAGUAGAGUGAUCGAAAGAUGAAAAGAACUUUGAAAAGAGAGUUAAAAAGUACGUGAAAUUGUUGAAAGGGAAGCGCUUGUGACCAGACUUGGGCUUGGUUGAUCAUCCGGGGUUCUCCCCGGUGCACUCUUCCGGCUCAGGCCAGCAUCAGUUCGCCCUGGGGGAUAAAGGCUUCGGGAAUGUGGCUCUCUCCGGGGAGUGUUAUAGCCCGCUGCGUAAUACCCUGUGG
rnacentral:rRNA from 1 species